ACGGCGUAUAUUAACGUUGUUGCAGUUAAAAAGCUCGUAGUUGAAGUUAUGGCGUGUUCUUUAUCUGUUCAGGGCUUUCCUUUACGGGUUGGUCUUGAACUCUUGUUGACACGUCGUAUUUUUGCCGUUUUUGGUGCAGGUUGCUUGACUGUAGCCUGUCUCCUUGCGGCAUAUUACUGUGAAAAAAUUAGAGUGUUCCAAGCAGAUGUAUAUCUGAAUAGUUCAGCAUGGAAUAAUAGAAUAGGGGAGAUUGCCCUAUUGUUGGUUUUGGGGUGGUUUCUGAUGAUGAAUAGGGACAGUUGGGGGCAUUAGUAUUUAAUUGUCAGAGGUGAAAUUCGAGGAUUUAUUGAAGACUAACUACUG
rnacentral:rRNA from 1 species